GUAAUGAUAAAAAAAUAAAAUUAACUGUAGUAGAGGAUUCGGCCCAUCUCUCUCUCUCCCAUGCCAUUUCCCUUUUCUCCCAACCCUAGCACCUCACGAGAUUUCACCGUCACCGUCGUUGAUCUUCGAUUCUCCCCUUUCACCCGCCGCUGAUUGAAAUUCAUUGUGUCUCCAUUAUUAUCUAUUUGUGCUCUCUCUUGUCGGCGGUUUUCUUUCAACUGUAGCACCCUCGCCGACGCUCUCUCUGUGCCCUCUCUCGUCGGCGUUUUUCAACUCAGGUGGCACCUGGUCUUAGCUUGAAAACUCCUUUGGCAGCAUUGGCAUCACAGUCAGCAUCAUCACAAACAUCUUCUUCUCAACCAUUACACUACCAGUUGAUUUCUCGUGGUAAUUCUAGCAUUGUCUAGUCGACAAAAUGUUACGUCUCAGGCAUGAAUGUAAGUCAAAGUAUAUUACUAAAGUCAACGAGAAGCUUACCGAACUUCAAAUGUUCCAAAUUUAGUAAACACCAUUUAAAUGAAGGUGACGAGGAGGACGUCUUCAUGGAUGAGAUUGAAAGGGUUAUUGAAAGGGAGGCGGCAAAUGUAUCAGAUGAUGAAGCACAUCAUGCAUCAAAUCUGUUGACUAGAAUUAAGGACAAGCCAAGAAACCGUGUAAAAAGUAAAAAGUGGGGUUCUGCUUUCACCGUGGGUGAAGGAUGGACGCAUAAAGAAGAAGAUUUAAAUUAGUGGUGUUUUGAUAUGAUUGUAAUGUAAAAAAAAAUUGAUGCUAUUUUUUAUUUAAUAGGACCAUGUUGCACCUAUAAUAUUAAUGGAAACACCAUAUGUUGUUAGUUACUAACAUUGUUCAACUAUCCUACAGUUUAAUGAGUCACUCUACCUGUUAUGUAAUAUAUUUUUUUGGGA